GACGAACGCUGGCGGCGUGCUUAACACAUGCAAGUCGAACGGAAAGGCCCUGCUUGCAGGGUGCUCGAGUGGCGAACGGGUGAGUAACACGUGGGUGAUCUGCCCCUUACUUUGGGAUAAGCCUGGGAAACUGGGUCUAAUACUGGAUAGGACCAUGCUGUAGGUGGUGUGGUGGAAAGAUUAGUUUCGGUAAGGGAUGAGCUCGCGGCCUAUCAGCUUGUUGGUGGGGUAAUGGCCUACCAAGGCGUCGACGGGUAGCCGGCCUGAGAGGGUGGACGGCCACAUUGGGACUGAGAUACGGCCCAGACUCCUACGGGAGGCAGCAGUGGGGAAUAUUGCACAAUGGGCGCAAGCCUGAUGCAGCGACGCCGCGUGGGGGAUGACGGCCUUCGGGUUGUAAACUCCUUUCAGCCAUGACGAAGCCCUUGUGGUGACGGUAGCGGUAGAAGAAGCACCGGCUAACUACGUG
rnacentral:rRNA from 1 species